rnacentral:rRNA from 1 species
CGUGAGGGACGAAGGCCUUCGGGUUGUAACCUCUUUCAGCAGGGACGAAGCGAAAGUGACUGUACCUCGCAGAAGAAGCACCGGCUAACUACGUGC